CAGCCGCCACGGUAAUACGAAGGGGGCUAGCGCUGUUCGGAUUUACUGGGCGUAAAGGGCGCGUAGGCGGACUGAUAAGUCAGGGGUGAAAUCCCAAGGCUCAACCUUGGAACUGCCUUUGAUACUGUUUGUCUUGAGUUCGAGAGAGGUAAGUGAACUGCGAGUGUAGAGGAGAAAUUCGUAGAUAUUCGCAAGAACACCAGUGGCGAAGGCGGCUUACUGGCUCGAAACUGACGCUGAGGCGCGAAAGCGUGGGGAGCAAACAGGAUUAGAUACCCGCGUAGUCCCUGUCUCUUAUACA
rnacentral:rRNA from 1 species